rnacentral:rRNA from 1 species
UACGUAGGUGGCGAGCGUUGUCCGGAUUUACUGGGCGUAAAGGAUGCGUAGGCGGAUUUUUAAGUGAGAUGUGAAAUCCCCGGGCUCAACCUGGGAAUUGCAUUCGAUACUGGAUAGCUAGAGUUCGGCAGAGGGAAGCGGAAUUUCGGGUGUAGCGGUGAAAUGCGUAGAUAUCCGAAGGAACAUCAGUGGCGAAAGCGGCUUCCUGGACCAGAACUGACGAUCAGGCACGAAAGCGUGGGGAGCAAACAGG